GACAGAGGUGGCAAGCGUUGUUCGGAUUCAUUGGGUGUAAAGGGCAGGUAGGUGGUCAAAUAAGUCUGGUGUGAAAUCCCAGGGCUCAACCCUGGAACUGCAUUGGAAACUGUUUGACUUGAGUACCGGAGAGGUGAGGGGAAUUCUCGGUGUAAGGGUGAAAUCUGUAGAUAUCGAGAGGAACACCAGUGGCGAAGGCGCCUCACUGGCCGGUUACUGACACUGAGCUGCGAAAGCAAGGGGAGCAAAC
rnacentral:rRNA from 1 species